AGAGAUCAGAGGCUGCACUCAUCAUAGCAGUGGAGCAGGACCAGCUGGGACAGGGUCCUUCUGUGACACCUGCCGCAUCACCAGGCUGUGUGAACAAACUCAGCUGCCAGAACUCACAGAAUAUCAGUAUCAGCACCAAAAACUCACAGGAAAAAUGUGGCUCCAUGUUUAGCUCCACAAACUUCAGACUUGAACAGCAUCACUGGCUCCUGACCAGGACUCCAGCUCCAUGAACCUCAAACUAGAACACCAGCCCACCUUCUCCACAUGUGUACGGCUCCAAAACCUAAGACAUCAGUGGCAGUACUUACUCCUCCCGGGGGCUCCAGCUCCAGGACCCUCAGACUUGAACCACAGCACCAACUCUUCCCUGGAUCUCCAGCUCCAUGACCCUCAGACUUAAACAACAGCAGCACCAGCUCAUCCGUGGGUCUCCAGCUCCACGACCCUCAAAUUAGAACUACACCAGCUCCUCCCCAGGUCUCCAGCUCCACAACCCUCAAACUAGAACAACAUCAGCUCCUCCCAGGGUCUCCAACUCCAUGACCCUCAAACUAGAACAACAGUGCUCACCCCUGGAUCUCCAUCUCCACAAACCUCACACUAGAACACCAACACCGGCUCCUCUACAGCUCUUCAGCUCCACAACCUAAAACAUCAGUGGCAGCUUUGGCUCCUCCCAUAGAUUCCAGCUCUAGGACCCUCAGAUUGAACUGCAAAACCACCUGCUCCCUGGAACUCCAGCUGCACAGCACUUAAACUAGAACAACAUCAGCUCCUCCGUGGGUCUCCAGCUGCACGACCCUCAAAUUAGAAUAUCAGCUCCUCCCAGGGUUUCCAGCUGCAUGAACCUCAAACUAGAACAACAUUAGCUCCUCCUCAGUCUCCAGCUGCACAAUACUGAAACUAGAGCAUCAGCUCCUCCCAGGGUCUCCAGCUGCAUGACCCUCAAACUAGAACAUGAACUCCUCCCAGGGUCUCCAUCUACACGAGCCUCAAGCUAGAACAACAUCAGCUCCUCCCUGGGUCUCCAACUCCAUGAUCCUCAAACUAGAACAACGCCACUCACUCCUGGAUCUCCAGCUCCACAAACCUCACACUAGAACAGCAACACUGGCUCCUCCAUGGGUGUCCAGCUUUACAGCCUAAGACAUUAGUGGCAGCACCAUCUCCUCCUGGGGGCUCAAGCUCCAGGACCCUCAGACUUGAACCGCAGCACCAGCUCUUCCCCGGAUCUCCAGCUUGACGACCUUCAGACUUAAACAACAGAAGGAUCAGCUCCUCCCUUGGUUGCCAGCUACAUGACCCUCAACUAGAAUACCAUCAGCUCCUCCCUGGGUCUCCAGCACCAUGACCCACAAACUAAAACACCAAUACUGGCUUCUCCAUGGGUCUUCAGCUCCACAACCUAAGACAUCAGUGGCAGCAUUGGCUCCUCCCAUAGAUUCCAGCUCCAGGACCCUCAGAUUUGAGGACCCAGUCACUCAAACUAGAACAACACCAGCUGCUCCCCAGGUCUGCAGCUGCACAACCCUCAAACUAGAACAUCAGCUCCUCCCAGGGUCUCCAGCUGCAAGACCCUCAAACUAGAACAUCAGCUCCUCCCAGGGUCUCCAGCUGCACGAACCUCAAACCAGAUCUUCAGCUCCUCCCCAGGUCUCCAGCUACAUGACCCUCAAACUAGAACAUUAGCUCCUCCCUGGGUCUCCAGCUCUACAACCAUCAAACUAGAACACCAUCAGCUCCUCUCCGGGUCUCCAGCUCCACGUCUCUCAAAUUAGAACAGCAUCAGCUUCUCCCCAGGUCUCCAGCUACAUGACCCUGAAACUAGAAAAACACCAGCUCCUCCCUGGGUCUCAAAGCUCCAUGACCCUCAAACUAGAACAACGUCAGCUCCUCCUCGGUCUCCAGCUGCAUGACCCUCAAACUAGAACAACGUCAGCUCCUCCUCGGUCUCCAGCUGCAUGACCCUCAAACUGGAAAAACAGCAGCAAACUAAAAAAACUCCCUGGAUUUUUCUAGUUUGAGGGUCAUGCACCUGGACACCUGGGAAGGAACUGAUUUUAAUCUAGUUUGAGCGUCAUGAGCUGGACACCCAGGGAGGAGCUGGUGUUUUUCCAGUUUCAGGGUCAUGGAGCUGGACACCCAGGGAGGCGCUGGUGUUCCUCUAGUUUGAGGGUCUUACAGCUGGAGACCCGAGGAGGAGCUGACGUUGUUCUAGUUUGAGGGUUUGUGGAGCUGGAGAUCCAGGGGGGAGGAGUGUUUUUCUAGUUUGAGGUCGAUUGAGGGUCAGCUGCAUGACCCUCAAACUGGAGAAACACCAGCUGCCCCCUGGGUCUCCAGCUCCACAAACCUCAAACUAGAGCAACAUCAGCUUCUCCCCUGGCCUCCAGCUCCGUGACCCUCAAACUAGAACAGCGUCAGCUCCUCCUCAGGUUUCCAGCUCCAUGACCCUCAAACUAAAACAACAUCAGCUCCUCCUUGGAUCUCCAGCUCCAUGACCCUCAGACUUAAACAAGAGCAACAUCAGCUCCUCCUUGGAUCUCCAGCUCCACGACCCUCAGACUUAAACAAGAGCAGCACCAGCUCCUCCACGGGUCUGCAGCUCCAUGACCCUCUAACAAGGAAAACAUCAACUACUCCCUGUGUCUCCAGCUCCAUGACCCUCUGAUCAGUAAAACAUCAACUCCCACCUGAGUCUCCAGACGCAGAAGCCUCAAACUAGAACAACAUCAGCUCCUCCCCAGGUCUCCAGCUGCACGACCCUCAAACUAGAACAUCAGCUCCUCCCUGCAUCUUCAGCAGCACGACCCUCAAACUAGAACAUCAGCUCCUCCCUGCGUCUUCAGCAGCACGACCCUCAAACUAGAACAUCAGCUCCUCUCCAGGUCUCCAGCUGCACGACACUCAUACUAGAAAAAUGCCAGCUCCUCCCGGGUUCUAGAGCUACAGGACUGUCGAACUAGAAAACACCUGCUCCUCCCCAGGUCUCCAGCUGCAUGAACCACAAACUAGAACAACACCAGCUCCUCUUUGGGUCUCCAGCUGCAGGGCCCUCAAACAAAAACAUCAGCUUCUCCCCGAGUCUUCAGCUGCACGACCCUCAAACUAGAACAUCAGCUCCUCUCCGAGUCUCCAGUUGCAGGAAACUCAUACUAGAAAAAUGCCAGCCCUUUCCGAAUUCUACAGCUGGACGACCCUCAAAUUAAAAAACACUCGCUCUUCCCCAGGUCUCCAGCUGCAUGAACCUCAAACUAGAGCAACAUCAGCUCCUCCUCGAGUCUUCAGCUGUGCGAUCUUCAAACUAAAACAUCAACUCCUCUCUGGCUCGCCAGAUGCAGGACACUCAUACUAGAAAAAUGCCAGCUCCUCCCAGGUUCUACAGCUGCACGACCUUCAAACUAAAAAACACCCACUCCUCCCCAGGUCUCCAGCUGCACAAACCUCAAACUAGAACAUCAGCUCCUCUCUGGGUCUCCAGCACCAAGACUCUCAAACUAGAGCAACAUCAGCUCCUCUCUGGGUCUCCAGCUGCAGGACACUCAUACAAGAAUAAUGCCAGCUCCUCCCAGGUUCUACAGCUGCACAACCCUCAAACUAAAGAAACAUCAGCUCCUCUCUGGGUCUGCAGCUGCAUGAACCUCAAACUAGAACAUCAGCUCCUCUCCAGGUCUCCAGCUGCACGACACUCAUACUAGAAAAAUGCCAGCUCCUCCCAGGUUCUACAGCUGCACAACCCUCAAACUAAAAAACACCCGCUCCUUCCCAGGUCUCCAGCUGCAUGAACCUCAAACUAGAACACCAGCUCCUUUCUGGGCCUCCAGCUGUAGGACACUCAUACAAGAAAACACCAGUUCCUCCCCAGGUCUCCAGCUGCAAGACCCUCAAACUAGAAAAACACCAGCUCCUUCCAGGUUCUAUAGCUGCACGACCCUCAAACUAAAGAAACACCUGCUCCUCCCAGAGUCUGCAGCUGCACGACCCUCAAAGUAACAAACACUAGCUUUUCCCCAGGUCUCCAGCUGCAAGAACCUGAAACUAGAAAAACACCAGCUGCUCCCUGGGUCUCCAGCUCCACAACUCUGAAACUAGAACAACACCAGCUCCUCCCCGGGUCUCCAGCUCCAUGACUCUGAAACUAGAACAACACCAGCUCCUCCCCAAGUCUCCAGCUCCAUGACCCUCCAAUUAAAAAAACAACAGUUUCUCCCAGGUCUCCAGCUGCAUGACCCUCAAAUUAGAACACCUCUCCCCACUGGAUCUCCAGCUCCAUGACCCUCACAGAAGAACAGCAACACCAGCUCCUUAACUGGUCUUCAGCUCUACAACCUAAGACAUCAGUGGCAGCACCGGCUCCUCCGUGGACCUCCAGCUCAAUGAUUUUCAGACUUAAAAUGCAGCACCAUCUCCUCCCCAAGGCUCCAUCUCCACUACCUUCAGAUUUGAACAGCGGUAGCACCAGCUCCUGUCUGGACCUUCAGCUCCAUAACCCUCCCUGAACAAUCCCUUUUCAUGAAAUUCAGCAGUCAAGAAAACUGCAGCUGAAGUAAAUGAAUAAAUGUUUCUUUUUCAGA